rnacentral:rRNA from 1 species
GAAAAACCAGAAAGAAAAUGG